AAAUUGAAGAGUUUGAUCAUGGCUCAGAUUGAACGCUGGCGGCAGGCCUAACACAUGCAAGUCGAACGGUAGCACAGAGAGCUUGCUCUCGGGUGACGAGUGGCGGACGGGUGAGUAAUGUCUGGGAAACUGCCUGAUGGAGGGGGAUAACUACUGGAAACGGUAGCUAAUACCGCAUAACGUCGCAAGACCAAAGAGGGGGACCUUCGGGCCUCUUGCCAUCAGAUGUGCCCAGAUGGGAUUAGCUAGUAGGUGGGGUAAUGGCUCACCUAGGCGACGAUCCCUAGCUGGUCUGAGAGGAUGACCAGCCACACUGGAACUGAGACACGGUCCAGACUCCUACGGGAGGCAGCAGUGGGGAAUAUUGCACAAUGGGCGCAAGCCUGAUGCAGCCAUGCCGCGUGUAUGAAGAAGGCCUUCGGGUUGUAAAGUACUUUCAGCGGGGAGGAAGGUGUUGUGGUUAAUAACCGCAGCAAUUGACGUUACCCGCAGAAGAAGCACCGGCUAACUCCGUGCCAGCAGCCGCGGUAAUACGGAGGGUGCAAGCGUUAAUCGGAAUUACUGGGCGUAAAGCGCACGCAGGCGGUCUGUCAAGUCGGAUGUGAAAUCCCCGGGCUCAACCUGGGAACUGCAUUCGAAACUGGCAGGCUAGAGUCUUGUAGAGGGGGGUAGAAUUCCAGGUGUAGCGGUGAAAUGCGUAGAGAUCUGGAGGAAUACCGGUGGCGAAGGCGGCCCCCUGGACAAAGACUGACGCUCAGGUGCGAAAGCGUGGGGAGCAAACAGGAUUAGAUACCCUGGUAGUCCACGCCGUAAACGAUGUCGACUUGGAGGUUGUGCCCUUGAGGCGUGGCUUCCGGAGCUAACGCGUUAAGUCGACCGCCUGGGGAGUACGGCCGCAAGGUUAAAACUCAAAUGAAUUGACGGGGGCCCGCACAAGCGGUGGAGCAUGUGGUUUAAUUCGAUGCAACGCGAAGAACCUUACCUACUCUUGACAUCCAGAGAACUUUCCAGAGAUGGAUUGGUGCCUUCGGGAACUCUGAGACAGGUGCUGCAUGGCUGUCGUCAGCUCGUGUUGUGAAAUGUUGGGUUAAGUCCCGCAACGAGCGCAACCCUUAUCCUUUGUUGCCAGCGGUCCGGCCGGGAACUCAAAGGAGACUGCCAGUGAUAAACUGGAGGAAGGUGGGGAUGACGUCAAGUCAUCAUGGCCCUUACGAGUAGGGCUACACACGUGCUACAAUGGCGCAUACAAAGAGAAGCGACCUCGCGAGAGCAAGCGGACCUCAUAAAGUGCGUCGUAGUCCGGAUUGGAGUCUGCAACUCGACUCCAUGAAGUCGGAAUCGCUAGUAAUCGUAGAUCAGAAUGCUACGGUGAAUACGUUCCCGGGCCUUGUACACACCGCCCGUCACACCAUGGGAGUGGGUUGCAAAAGAAGUAGGUAGCUUAACCUUCGGGAGGGCGCUUACCACUUUGUGAUUCAUGACUGGGGUGAAGUCGUAACAAGGUAACCGUAGGGGAACCUGCGGUUGGAUCACCUCCUUACCUUAAAGAA
rnacentral:rRNA from 2 species